AAAAAAAUCAAAACAUUCAGCAUCCACUACCACUUCUGUAGUUAUUUUUGGUUUAAUUAUAAAAAGAAAGAAACGGACAUGGCGCCUGCGGUGUACUGGUCUCAUGAAGAGACUGAGGCACUUAUUGCAGUGUAGUUGGAGGAAGAAAUACAGGACUGGAGGAAACAUUUCAAUAUGAGAAAGUCUACAGGGAAGUGUCAGGUCGACUGGCCGCCAUGGCGAUGAGUUGCUCUGUGAAACAGUGCAGGGAGAAGAUAAAGAAGCUGAAACAAGAAAACAGGAAAGUAAAACAACACAGUGAAAGAAGUAUGGCUUCAAGUUCUAUGACGCAAUGGAGGCUACCAUGAGACAGAACAGUCAUCCACCAUGAUCCCUGAAUUCAGACGUGGAAACGGAUGAAACUCAGUGGUUGCCUGAUGAAGUCCAAGUGCUGAUGACCUUCUGGGCACAGCCAAACAUUCAGAAACCACUUCUCACCACAGCAACACACAAUCAAGUCUUUUAUCAGCAGUGAUUGGUGAGGUUUAACAAGACCACACAUCAGGGAAUAACCUUAAAGAGGAGUACAGGAAAAUCCAGGAAGCGGAACCACACGGGGGGGGGGGGAUGUUAGAAACGACUGGUUUUCUGUUUCGGACAGUGUCCUUGGCCCCGGUGAAGAGACUUCUACAGAGGGGGAUUCAUCCGCAUGAUGCGCUGCGGGCUGUUUGGACAUCAGAUGAAGUGCUGCUCAGCCGAUGGGCAAAGGGGAGCGUCCAGGAGCCGCUUCGAUCAGCUGAGCUCCGAGCUCGCCGCUCAGGGCUCUGGUAAAACUGCCAGCCAGUGCAGGUCAAAACAUAAAACUGCUGAAACAAAAGUAGAGAAAGAUUAAGGAACAGAAGGGACCUUGGUUUCUACAGACGUUCCAGCAAGACCUUUCUGAAACAGUGGACUUGUUAACUGCUGUAGUCAAAUUAGUCACAUGCUUUUCUGUAAAUGUGUGAUGCAGUAUGUGAUCUGUAUUUUUAUUUUUGAAAAAUAAAUGUGGCCUUUCUGAGAAAAGUAGAUAGUAGUCUGUGCUAAAAUAAAAUAAAGUCUAAAAAGGCAUUGAAUUCAUUAAUCUAAAAAUAAGGCCUUAAUUGGUAUUAAAAUGUCUUAAAUCAAUUUUUCAAAACUCUUAAAAAUGCUAACAUGGGAAGUAUAAUGCAAUUAAAAAAUCUGGAAAUAAUUGUUAA